rnacentral:rRNA from 1 species
AGCGAACGCUGGCGGCAAGCUUAACACAUGCAAGUCGAACGAGAUCUUCGGAUCUAGUGGCGGACGGGUGCGUAACACGUGGGAAUCUGCCUUUAGGUGAGGAAUAACUCAGGGAAACUUGAGCUAACACCUUAUAAUGUCUUCGGACCAAAAAUUUAUUGCCUAAAGAUGAGCCUGCGGUAGAUUAGCUAGUUGGUGGGGUAAUGGCCUACCAAGGCGACGAUCUAUAGCUGGUCUUAGAGGAUGAUCAGCCACACUGGGACUGAGACACGGCCCAGACUCCUACGGGAGGCAGCAGUGGGGAAUAUUGGGCAAUGGGCGAAAGCCUGACCCAGCUAUGCCGCGUGAAUGAUGAAGGCCUUAGGGUUGUAAAGUUCUUUUAGAUGGGAAGAUAAUGACGGUACCAUCAGAAAAAGCUCCGGCUAACUUCGUGCCAGCCGCCGCCGUAA